rnacentral:rRNA from 1 species
GGGCCCGCACAAGCGGUGGAGCAUGUGGUUUAAUUCGAUGCAACGCGAAGAACCUUACCAGGGCUUGACAUACUACAAAUUCUUUAGAGAUGAAGAAGUGCCUUCGGGAAUGUAGAUACAGGUGGUGCAUGGCUGUCGUCAGCUCGUGUCGUGAGAUGUUGGGUUAAGUCCCCGCAACGUAGCGCAACCCCUUAUUUUUUAGUUACUAAUUCGUUAGGUUCUCUAGAAAGACUGCCGGUGACAAACCGGAGGAAGGUGAGGAUGACGUCAAGUCAGCAUGCCCCCUUAUGUCCUGGCUACACACGUGCUACAAUGGUUUAAGACAAAGAGUCGCGAGCUCGCGAGAGU